AAGUCGUAACAAGGUCUCCGUAGGUGAACCUGCGGAGGGAUCAUUACCCGAGUGUGGGGCCCUCCGUGCCCCAACCCUCCCCAACCCUUUGUCGAUUCAUAUCUGUUGCCUCGGGGGGGCGACCCGGGACUCGCGCCGGGAGUCCCCCCAGAGGUCCAACCCAAAUUACACCUGCGUCUUUGCGUCGAGUAUUGAAAAACAAUCAAUCAAAA
rnacentral:misc_RNA from 1 species